rnacentral:rRNA from 1 species
AUACGGAGGAUGCGAGCGUUAUCCGGAUUUAUUGGGUUUAAAGGGAGCGUAUGUGGGAUAUUAAGUCAGCUGUGAAAGUUUGGGGCUCAACCUUAAAAUUGCAGUUGAUACUGGUUUCCUUGAGUACGGUACAGGUGGGCGGAAUUCGUGGUGUAGCGGUGAAAUGCUUAGAUAUCACGAAGAACUCCGAUCGCGAAGGCAGCUCUCCGGGCCGGAACUGACACUGAUGCUCGAAAGUGCGGGUAUCAAACAGGAUUAGAUACCCUGGUAGUCCGCACAGUAAACGAUGAAUACUCGCUGUUUGCGAUACACGGUAAGCGGCCAAGCGAAAGCGUUAAGUAUUCCACCUGGGGAGUACGCCGGCAACGGUGAAACUCAAAUGAAUUGACGGGG